AUACGUAGGUGGCAAGCGUUGUCCGGAUUUAUUGGGCGUAAAGCGAGCGCAGGCGGUUUUUUAGGUCUGAUGUGAAAGCCUUCGGCUUAACCGGAGAAGUGCAUCGGAAACCGGGAGACUUGAGUGCAGAAGAGGACAGUGGAACUCCAUGUGUAGCGGUGAAAUGCGUAGAUAUAUGGAAGAACACCAGUGGCGAAGGCGGCUGUCUGGUCUGCAACUGACGCUGAGGCUCGAAAGCAUGGGUAGCGAACAGGAUUAGAUACCCUGGUAGUCCAUGCCGUAAACGAUGAGUGCUAAGUGUUGGAGGGUUUCCGCCCUUCAGUGCUGCAGUUAACGCAUUAAGCACUCCGCCUGGGGAGUACGACCGCAAGGUUGAA
rnacentral:rRNA from 1 species